rnacentral:rRNA from 1 species
AUACGUAGGUGACAAGCGUUAUCCGGAUUUACUGGGCGUAAAGGGCGUGUAGGCGGUCUUGCAAGUCAGAAGUGAAAUUCCUGAGCUCAACUCGGGCGCUGCUUCUGAAACUGCAGGACUUGAGUGCUGGAGGGGAUAGCGGAAUUCCUAGUGGAGCGGUAAAAUGCGCAGAUAUUAGGAAGAACACCGGUGGCGAAGGCGGCUAUCUGGACAGUAACUGACGCUGAGGCGCGAAAGCGUGGGGAGCAAACAGGAUUAGAUCCCCUGUUAGUCCACGCCGUAAACGAUGAAUACUAGGUGUAGGGGGUAUCGACUCCCUCUGUGCCGCAGUUAACACAAUAAGUAUUCCGCCUGGGGAGUACGGCCGCAAGGUUGAAACUCAAAUGAAUUGCCGGGU